GCCAGGAAGAUAUAGAAGAGGCUGUUUCCUCAUGUCCAGAUUAUACCUCUGCUCUCCAGUAUCUGUCACAUGAAUGCCCUCUAUGCUGUGACCAAUAUUCGUAUUCCAAGUUUGUGAAGAUGACACACUGCAAUUGUUCUUUAUGUGAGCAGUGCUUCAUUUGUCAUUUCUCUUCUGUCAUCAAAGAGAAGAGUAUUAUACAUGUGGUGUGCCCCCUCUGCAAAAAACCAGACCUGGAGAAAAGUGGGAAUUCUGAGGAAUCUAUGGAGUACUUCAACUUGCUGGACACCCAGAUCCAUCACUAUCUUGACCAGACAACCCAUGAUUUAUUUCAAAGAAAGCUAAGAGAUAGAGCAUUGAUGGAGAUGCCUGAAUUCAG